GCACUUACCACUGAUGAGCAUGCUGUGCACUUAUCAAACGCUAGACUUGCUGGGAGGACAUUGUCAAACCUUGACAAGAAGCCACGGAUCUGCAAGAGAGGAAUUAUUAGUUGCUGUUGUAAAGGUUGCAGACUUGGAUGGACUGAAGCCAACCCAUCCAUCUCAGCUCAUGGUCAGGAUAGUUUACAGCUUGGAAAGAUGAUUAAAAAGGAACACAGAAUAAUCAGGUCUGGUCCACUUUGGUUGUUCCAGGAGCAAGGAAUGAAAAGAGUUAUGAAAAGUUGAGCUUUAUUCCAUUGGACACAACGUUGAGGGAUGACCUGACAACUUUGACAAUAUGGAAGUUACGAUGAGGUCAAUUAUAAUAAACUACUUUCAAUGGCUGGUGAUGCAGUGAAGAAGCAUACAUUUAGGGCAUUUAUCAAAAGAAUUAAGGAUAGUAGGAAAAAAUCUUUAUUAAUUCAAGGUUAAAGCUAACUAUAAGAUCAUAGUGAUAGGAGCAGAAUUAGGCCAUUUGGCCCAUCAAGUUUACUCCGCCAUUCAAUCAUGGCUGAUUUAUCUCUCCCUCCUAACUCCAUUCUUCUGCCUUCCCCAUAUCCUCUGACACCAGUAGUAAUCAAGAAUCUAUCUAUCUCUGCCUUAAAUAUAUCCACUGACGGCCUCUAAAGCAAAGAAUUCCACAGAUUCACCACCCUCUGACUAAAGAAAUCUCACCUCUUCUUUCCUAAAAGAACGUCUUUCAGUUCUGAGGCUAUGAUCUCUAGUCCUAGACUCUCCCACUAGUGUAAACAUCCUCUCCACAUCCAACUCUAUCCAAGCCUUUCACUAUUCUGUACAUUUAAUGAGGUCCCCCCUCAUUCUUCUAAACUCCAGUGAGUACAGGCCCAGUGCCGACAAACGCUCAUCCUAUGUUAACCUACUCAUUUCUGGGAUCAUUCUUGUAAACCUCCUCUGGACCCUCUCCAGAGCCAGCACAUCCUUCUUCAGAUAUGGUGCCAAAUACUGCUCACAAUAUUCCAAAUUUGGCCAGCCUAGCACAUUAUAAAGCCUGUUUUUUGUAUACAACCCCACUCAAAAUAAAUGCCAGCAUUGCAUUUGCUUUCUUUACUAUCGACUCGACAAUCUUUAGAAAUUGUGAAAACAAAUAUUGAAAGAGACAAAGAGUGAACAGGUCUUGUGUUAAUCAAGUUUGCACAUGUGCAGCAGAAACAAGUGCAGACAUGAUGUUCAGAUCAACCUACUUCACUCUGAAGACAAAGAAAUUAAAAAAAUUACAAGAAAUACUAAUACAGUGAAUUUUACUGAUCUAGUUAACUGUAAACCAGUAGUAAACACCCUGCCCAUGCUGUCUGUAUGGAGUUUGUACGUUCUCCCCGUGACCGUGUGGGUUUUCCCUGGGUGCUCCGGUUUCCUCUCACGUUCCAAAAACGCACAGGUUUGUAGGUUAAUUGGCUUUGGCAAAAAUUGUAAAUUGUGCCUUGUAUGUGUAGGAUAGUGCUAGUGUGCAGGGAUGGCUGGUCAGUGUGGACUCAGUGGGCCGUUGGGACUGUUUCUGCGCUGUAUCUCUAAUUUACACUAAAACUAAUCUAAACCCACUUCCUCUGAAACAAUAAAAAAAUAUUUAAUGAUACUUAUUAUUUAAAUUUUGUAGGCAAAUUUUGUAGGCACGUAUAAAAUUAGUUAUCAUGUAAGAAGUUGCAAAACUAUUCAACUUCUUCAUUUUUCUAUCCUUCUUGAAGCUCUUCUUUGGAACUUCUCUCUGGCAAGGUCUUUAGGCAUAUUGCUCUUUCAAAUAUUUUGCUCCAGUAACUGCAAAUUACUUUGCGGCAAAUUACUUCAAAUGAAUACAAAUUACUGUAGUUCAAUAUUUUGAUAUCUCUAGAAUGACACACAAAGUCUAGAUAAACUCUUUAGUUACAGUGUAGGAUGGUUACAUGGUAACUCAAAUUUCACUGUGUUAAGUGACAAUAAACGCAAACUUGAACUUGAACUGCAGAUGCUGGUUUAAAUCGAAGAUGGACACAAAAUGCUGGAGUAACUCAGCAGGACAUGCUGGAGAGAAGGAAUGGAUGACAUUUUGGGUCAAGACCCUUCUUCUGAAGAAGGGACUCGACCUGAAACGUCACCUAUUCUUUCUUUAGUUACAGUGUUACUCUGUUAAAAUUGGAACUCUAUAUCAA